rnacentral:sRNA from 1 species
CAGUGUUUUGUGGACAUGAACAGUUCUGUUUCUGGAGAGGGAUCUUCGUUGGGCUUGGGGUCGUCGUUGGGCUUGAUAGAGACAUGUGCUGUCAGACUGUAGAUGUCAUGAGUUUCUGAGGAAAGAAUCACUAGGAGCAGGGUAAGCUGUGUGGCAUUGGUGCUUGCAUACUGCAGGGAGUUACCUACCAGGGCUGGGCCGGGACUGGCCAGAAUCUUGACAGAUGAAGUUUGACCAGACCAAGGCAACUCCAACAACAUUGCCACCGUGGACAUCUCCGCAGGCUUCGUGGGCUUAGACACCUACGUGGAAAUCCCAGCCGUGCUCCUGACAGCGUUUGGGACGUACGCAGGGCCUGUGCUGUGGGCCAGCCACUUAGUGCACUUCCUGAGCUCAGAAACACGCAGCGGACACGGAGCCUUUCCGGGGGCAGAAUCGCUUCC